UUGUUGGUAAGGUAAAAGCUUACCAAGGCUUCGAUCAGUAGCUGGUCUGAGAGGACGACCAGCCACACUGGGACUGAGACACGGCCCAGACUCCUACGGGAGGCAGCAGUGGGGAAUUUUGGACAAUGGGGGCAACCCUGAUCCAGCCAUGCCGCGUGAGUGAAGAAGGCCUUCGGGUUGUAAAGCUCUUUCAGCCGGAACGAAACGGUUACGGAUAACACCCGUGACUACUGACGGUACCGGAAGAAGAAGCACCGGCUAACUACGUGCCAGCAGCCGCGGUAAUACGUAGGGUGCGAGCGUUAAUCGGAAUUACUGGGCGUAAAGCGUGCGCAGGUGGUUUUGUAAGUCAGAUGUGAAAGCCCCGGGCUCAACCUGGGAACUGCGUUUGAAACUACAAGACUAGAGUGUGGCAGAGGGGGGUGGAGUUCCGCGUGUAGCAGUGAAAUGCGUAGAGAUGUGGAGGAACACCGAUGGCGAAGGCAGCCCCCUGGGUCAACACUGACGCUCAGGCACGAAAGCAUGGGGAGCAAACAGGAUUAGAUACCCUGGUAGUCCAUGCCCUAAACGAUGUCAACUAGUUGUCGGGCCUUUACGGGCUUGGUAACGUAGCUAACGCGUGAAGUUGACCGCCUGGGGAGUACGAUCGCAAGAUUAAAACUCAAAUGAAUUGACGGGGACCCGCACAAGCGGUGGAUUAUGUGGACUAAUUCGAUGCAACGCGAAAAACCUUACCUACCCUUGACAUGUAUCGAAGCCCGCAGAAAAGCGGGGGUGCCCGAAAGGGAACGAUAACACAGGUGCUGCAUGGCUGUCGUCAGCUCGUGUCGUGAGAUGUUGGGUUAAGUCCCGCAACGAGCGCAACCCUUGUCAUUAAUUGCCAUCAUUUAGUUGGGCACUUUAAUGAGACUGCCGG
rnacentral:rRNA from 1 species